ACCUGGCUGGCUCAGUCAGUAAAGCGUGUGACUCUUGAUCUCAGAGUUGUGAGUCCAAGCCCCACGUUGGGUG
rfam:Ailuropoda melanoleuca scaffold2782_9, whole genome shotgun sequence.